CAUUGGUGACUGAACAUCUUCAGUGAGAACAUCACAGUCCUUCAAAGUAUUUAAGUGUAAGGUACUUGAUACAAAAAUACAAAGAUGUUGUGAUGAGGAACACACAUCUAUUUUACAUAGAAUAGAAACUCAACACAGCAUCUUUGUUUUUAAAUACCUGAAAGAUUUCAAUGAAGCACUCACACUGACUGUCUAUUGUCACAUGACUUGACCAAUUUCUCCAACCAUAUAUUGGCGUGUCUUUUACAUUAUUACCCCCAAAUAAGCCUUCUUUGGAUAUAGAUUGCCACAUCCUUAUACCUACCCUCCACUGUUCCAUUGAUUCUUUUUUUAUUUCUCUCUUUAAAAUUUUAUUUAUCGGAAACUAAAUACAAAGUAAGAAAAAAAAGCAAAAUAGAAAAAGAAAGACAGAAAAGGAAAAUGAAAAUAAAAAUUGGACCAUGCUGUUUCUUUAAAGAUCACUAUCUGAGGAGAGAGAUAAUAUGAUGUGCAAAGAUAAUCAUAUGCAACACAGAACAAGUGCAUUAAAAAGAAAAAAUCAAAGUUUCUGUGACAAGAAAGAAAUUACUUUUCACUUUUGGCUUCCUUGGAGGUCAGUUUGGGAUUGGGCAAAAAGGGCUUUGUAAAGACUUUGUUGGGUAAAUGGAAAGUGGUUUAGUCAAUCAGUCAAGGAGCAUUUAUUAAGCAUUCACUAUGUAAAAGUACUAUUAACAUUUCAAGUAGAGAUAGAUUGGGGUUAGGAAGGAAUGAAUAAAAAACACUGCUCAAUUUCUACAUGACACUGUUCUUGGUGCUGGGGAUGGGAAUAGAACAAGAUGGUCCCUGUUCUCAAGGAGCUCACAUUCUAAAAUAGGGAGAUAACACAUGUAGAAGUUUCAGCAUUAAGUCAGAUAGAAAAACCCUAGAAUCCUUUGGAUGUAACAGCAAAGCAGAUGGCCAUGCAUCUUUAAUGUCAUUUUUACCAUAUGUACUUCUGAUGUUGAAUCUGUUGACAGAGUCAAGGACUUUGUUUUCAAGAACUUUCCUGUGUUUAUAGAAGCUGUUGAAGAUGAGAGUAAGAGGCUGUGACAACUGCAGAAACAGUUUUCUGGUAGCAUCAGGACCAAGGAUUGAUUCCUUGGAUAAGAACUUGGGUGAAAGCAGGGUGCAAAGUCUGAGGGGUGUUGCUAUUUCUAGGAUUUUGGUUCUUUGGGCCUCAAUCUGGGACCAGGGAAAGGGGUUGGUAAUGUUUUGAACUGCUUGGCACUUGCUUCUUUCUGUAUUUCCUCCAAGGUAUCUUGCUGCUUCAACUAGGUUGGCUUGUCUACACAAUUGAGGCCAUUGCAUGGAGUUGAUAGAUUGGCUGAUUCUUCUCCAGGAACUGUUGAUACCUGGGCUGGAAUCAGGACCCUUGAUCUAGGGGAUGCUACUUACUAUUCCCAGUGCUCUUGGACUCAGGGCCCUGGGCUUUUUCUGAUGGGGCUCUGAGGAGGCAAAGUUGGUAACUGUGGUCUGACUUGUCUGGAAUGGGCCACCUCUUCUCCAGUAAAGGAAGAAGCAGGAAUAUUUGCUGAGAUGUCGGGAUAGGGAUGAAGAAAGCAUCUGAGAACCUUAGAUGCAUUUUUUAAAAGGGCCAUUGAAACAUUUUCAAAAAUGCAUAGAAGAGAAAAGAAACAACUUCAGAAGGAAACAUAGACACACAGGAGAGUUUUGAAGGUCAUGUGUCCAUUUUGACUGCACUGGAAUGGAUCUGGGAGGUAAUCCAGUUUAAUUUACAGAAAUGGAAACUGAGAGUCAAAGAAAUGAAAAGUCUUGCCCAAAGAAGAAUUAAAUUACAGGAAAUAAAUGGCAGAGCCAAAAUUUGUAUUCCA